rnacentral:rRNA from 1 species
GCUGAUGCUGAUAGGACGUUAAAUACACCUGCAGUUCCCGAUGGAUCACUGGAGUUAAGCAAGUAGCCCGGUUGCUAUCCGGAUGGGUGACCAUCUGGGAAACCGAGCACUGGUU